GGUCAGUGAUGAAUAGUAAAAGGUCUGACUGCCCAGGUCCUCUCCCAGCAUCAUGUGUUCCCCAGCCACCUCUCUCCCAUCAGGCUCGAGAUAGUGCUGCGAUGGGCAGAAACAGUGGUUGACACAUAGCAAUGCCCACAUUCUGUGUUCCCUGAUGAGCCCAGGGAAGAGCCCGUGGUUGGCAUGCAACAGCUUAGUCACAAGGGGAUUUGAGUGCUGGGAGUGCUGGUGUGGCAGUGAUCUGACAUUGCAAGCUGAGACC
ensembl:scaRNA